rnacentral:rRNA from 1 species
UACGGAGGAUGCAAGCGUUAUCCGGAAUGAUUGGGCGUAAAGCGUCCGCAGGUGGCUGUGUAAGUCUGCUGUUAAAGAGUGAGGCUCAACCUCAUAAAAGCAGUGGAAACUACACAGCUAGAGUGCGUUCGGGGCAGAGGGAAUUCCUGGUGUAGCGGUGAAAUGCGUAGAGAUCAGGAAGAACACCGGUGGCGAAGGCGCUCUGCUGGGCCGCAACUGACACUGAGGGACGAAAGCUAGGGGAGCGAAUGGG